CAGCCGCUCCCUGCCUACGACGUCUGCAACACAUGAGGGCGGACGUUGUAGGGAGCGGCCA
ensembl:miRNA gmo-mir-11281 gmo-mir-11281